rnacentral:rRNA from 1 species
AUUGAACGCUGGCGGCAUGCCUAACACAUGCAAGUCGAACGAGUGGCGGACGGGUGAGUAAUGUCUGGGAACCUGCCUGAUGGAGGGGUAUAACUACUGGAAACGGUAGCUAAUACCGCAUACCAUCAGAUGUGCCCAGGUGGGAUUAGCUAGUUGGUGGGGUAACGGCUCACCAAGUCGACGAUCCCUAGCUGGUCUGAGAGGAUGACCGGCCACACUGGAACUGAGACACGGCCCAGACUCCUACGGGAGGCAGCAGUGGGGAAUCUUGCGCAAUGGGCGCAAGCCUGAUGGAGCCACGCCGCGUGAGUGAAGAAGGCCUUCGGGUUGUAAAGUACUUUUGGCAGGGAAGCGUUACCUGAAGAGGAAGCACCGGCUAACUACGUGCCAGCAGCCGCGGUAAUUC